rnacentral:rRNA from 1 species
AUUGAACGCUGGCGGCAUGCCUUACACAUGCAAGUCGAACGGCAGCACGGGUGCUUGCCCCUGGUGGCGAGUGGCGAACGGGUGAGUAAUACAUCGGAACAUGUCCUGUAGUGGGGGAUAGCCCGGCGAAAGCCGGAUUAAUACCGCAUACGAUCUACGGAUGAAAGCGGGGGACCUUCGGGCCUCGCGCUAUAGGGUUGGCCGAUGGCUGAUUAGCUAGUUGGUGGGGUAAAGGCCUACCAAGGCGACGAUCAGUAGCUGGUCUGAGAGGACGACCAGCCACACUGGGACUGAGACACGGCCCAGACUCCUACGGGAGGCAGCAGUGGGGAAUUUUGGACAAUGGGCGAAAGCCUGAUCCAGCAAUGCCGCGUGUGUGGAGAAGGCCUUCGGGUUGUAAAGCACUUUUGUCCGGAAAGAAAUCCUUGGCCCUAAUACGGUCGGGGGAUGACGGUACCGGAAGAAUAAGCACCGGCUAACUACGUG